AUGGCCUUCGCCGGCAGCAGCGACGGCCAGAGCGGCUCCGCGAGGGCGCACUUCGUGCUGGUGCCGAUGAUGGCUCAGGGCCAUACAAUCCCCAUGACCGACAUGGCACGCCUGCUGGCAGAGCAUGGCGCGCAGGUCAGCUUCAUCACCACGCCGGUCAACGCCGCUAGGUUGGAAGGCUUCGCCGCUGAGGUGGAGGCGGCGGGCCUGGCGGUUCAGCUCGUGGAGCUCCACUUCCCGAGUGUAGAGUUCGGCCUACCAGAUGGGUGCGAGAACCUCGACGUAUAUGUCAUCAUCAAGGGCGGAAGAACUGAUAAUAGAGCGUUAGAGCAGAGUUGGACGACCGGUUUUGCCAAAUUAUGGGCCCUAGAACUCCUCUUGGUGCCGCCAUUUGCCACGGCUGUGCAUAGCUAG
rnacentral:rRNA from 1 species